CGUAGGGUGCGAGCGUUAAUCGGAAUUACUGGGCGUAAAGCGUGCGCAGGCGGUUUUGUAAGGCAGAUGUGAAAUCCCCGGGCUCAACCUGGGACCUGCAUUUGUGACUGCAAGGCUAGAGUACGGUAGAGGGGGAUGGAAUUCCGCGUGUAGCAGUGAAAUGCGUAGAUAUGCGGAGGAACACCGAUGGCGAAGGCAAUCCCCUGGACCUGUACUGACGCUCAUGCACGAAAGCGUGGGGAGCAAACAGGAUUAGAUACCCUGGUAGUCCACGCCCUAAACGAUGUCAACUGGUUGUUGGGUCUUUACUGACUCAGUAACGAAGCUAACGCGUGAAGUUGACCGCCUGGGGAGUACGGCCGCAAGGUUG
rnacentral:rRNA from 1 species